rnacentral:rRNA from 1 species
GCGACCCCAGGAUGGGCGGGGUGACCCGCUGAGUUUAAGCAUAUCAAUUAGCGGAGGAAAAGAAA